UAGAGUUAUAAAACUCCAAACCCAUGUGAACUUACCACUGUUGCCUCGGCGGAAGCUACCCUGUGGCUACCCUUUAGUAGACUACCCUGUAGCCCGCCGGUGGAUUUUCAAACUUGUUAUUCAAUGUAAUCUGAGCGUCAUAUUUUAAUAAGUUA
rnacentral:misc_RNA from 1 species